UGGCCACCUCUUGGGGUUUCCUUGCUUGCGUCACUUCGGCCCUCCCUGGAAUUCUCGGAUUGCGGGUCCUGUUAAAUACCUACUUUAUAGGUAGCUUAGUGCCUUCUGUGUGAGUUGACUGGGAAGGUUUGAGCCGUCAGAAUGCCAUACAGUUCGUGAAAUGAAGUGCUUCACUUAAUUUAUUGAUCUUGUGCCAGAGGUAUUGGGAAGGAAGCCUGUAGGGAAAAACCCCACCUUCGAGGAGUCAUCUUGCAGUUAAGACUCCAGCAAACCUGUGAUGUAGGUUAUCACCCUUGUAAAGAAAUUGAGACUCAAGGAAGUUUAAAUGACUCCCUCCCAAGUACACUGUUCCAGAAUACCAAAGCCAGGCUUUGACUCCAAAUCCAGUGCUCUUCAAGGAAAAUGAGCAUAUAUUGUUAUUUAGUUAUUUAAAGAGGGGAAAUCAGCUGCGCAUAUCAUGAAGACAUUCAAACAGACUAUGGAGAGGCCCAUCUGGCAAGAAUACUCUCUCCUCGUAAAAUUCAUAAAGGAACUGAGGCCUCCUACCGGUAGCCAUGUGAGAGCCAUUUGGAAGCAGUCCUCCAACUCCAGUCAUGCCUACAGAUGCCUGCAGUUCUUGUUGACUUCUACCUUCAGUCACAUGAGAAACUGAACCAGGACCACUCUGCAAGCCACUUCUGGAUUUCUGACUCACAGAAACUUGAAAGUCACUAAGUUUUGGGAUGGUUUAUUACAUAGCAAUGAAUAAAUAAUGCAGAGAAGAGACAAUGUUA